rnacentral:rRNA from 1 species
AUACGGAGGGGGUUAGCGUUGUUCGAAAUUACUGGGCGUAAAGCGCACGUAGGCGGAUUAAAAAGUUAGAGGUGAAAUCCCAGGGCUCAACCCUGGAACUGCCUUUAAAACUAGUGGUCUAGAGUUCGAGAGAGGUGAGUGGAAUUCCAAGUGUAGAGGUGAAAUUCGUAGAUAUUUGGAGGAACACCAGUGGCGAAGGCGGCUCACUGACUCGAUACUGACGCUGAGGUGCGAAAGCGUGGGGAGCAAACAGGAUUAGAAACCCCAGUAGUCC